CAAAUUUACUGGAGUUAAAUUUAUGGUGUACAUUUUUUGGUGUUGCCCAGUGUUAAACCCAGAGUACAUUUUAAUCCUCAAGUGUUAAACUGCAUCUAUAAAAAGAGUUAUUUUUCAGAGUUAAACUUUUAACUCUGUAAGCAGUGCAUUUCCCACAAUCCUUAACGGCUCUUCAUUUGGAAGACAACAAGGAGAUUAGUACGCAGUUCAAAGAAGCUGCAUGGAUUUCGUUGGAUUGGAGUUUGUUUAUAUCUGAGCACCACGCGCAUCAGUAACAAUGCUGUUCACAGUAAUCUAUGGAGGAAAGAAAAAGCUGAUAAAAGUAGAUGGAGCAGAUUACACUAGUUUAAUGACUCAAGUUAAGAAGAAAUUUUCAAUAAGUGAGAAAGAUCUGAUGUUACAAGAUGACACUGGUGUUGAGGUGGAUGAAGAUGUAUUCACUGACUUGCUGGAGGAGAGAUCACAUGAUAUCCUAUGGAGAGUUGUUGACAAAGAUUCUGAAUGCUCAGUCCUCAAUUCUUCCUGUAGCUCAUAAACUGACCCUCUCUCAGUGUCGUCUGAGACUGAUGACAGUGCUGGACCAAGCUCCAAGAGACCUCGUCUUGAUGGACUUUUUGAGGC